AUGCUUGCUUCGGCAGCACAUGUACUAAAAUUGGAAUGAUACAGAGAUUAGCAUGGCCCCUGUGCAAGGAUGACAUGCAAAUUUGUGAAACAUUCCAUAAAUUA
ensembl:snRNA U6 U6 spliceosomal RNA